rnacentral:rRNA from 1 species
CCUACGGGAGGCAGCAGUAAGGAAUCUUGCGCAAUGGGCGAAAGCCUGACGCAGCGACGCCGCGUGGGCGAUGAAGGCCUUCGGGUUGUAAAGCCCUUUUCUGGGGGACGAGGAAGGACGGUACCCCAGGGAUAAGUCACGGCUAACUACGUGCCAGCAGCCGCGGUAAAACGUAGGUGGCAAGCGUUAUCCGGAAUCACUGGGCGUAAAGGGCGUCUAGGCGGACGGGUAAGUCGUGCGUGAAAGCUUCCGGCUCAACCGGGAGAGGUCGUACGAUACUGCCUGUCUUGAGGGUCGGAGAGGGACGUGGAAUUCCUGGUGUAGCGGUGAAAUGCGUAGAUAUCAGGAAGAACACCGGUAGCGAGGGCGGUUUCCUGGUCCGUAACUGACGCUGAGGCGCGAAAGCGUGGGGAGCAAACAGGAU